UUGCGAGGAUGGUGGGGAAGAGGAUUACGGGUUAAUGACUAACCGAGUUUAACGUCGUUAGUCAUUAAAAGUAAUGGAAAUAUUUUUGCAAAAGUAAGGGGUAUAUGGUGAAUUUCAAAAGUCGAAAAGGUAUAUGAUGCAAAAAUAAUUUGUCAGGGGUAUAUUGUGAAAAAAACGUAGGAAUUAAAAUGUUACCUUAUUGGAAUAUAUUAUGUUAAUAAGGAAUUUAGUUAAGUUAGAUUAGUAGUUCAGUUUGGAAUCCUAUCUGCAAAGUUGUUAGUAUUCUAGUUCAGUAUGGUUUCCUAAUAUUAGGUUGUAUAUAUAUUCUCUAUCGUUUGAUGUGUUCAGUCGAUGAGUUUUCCUAUCUUCAAAAUCUUAACAUGGUAUCACAACCACUCUAAUCCUAAUUGAUUUGAUCGACUGUUUGCUGUUCUUGCUCGAUCUUUGUUGUUUCUUGCUUGUGCUAUGUGGGGUUCGUCUCUUAUUCUUCCGCUGCUGUUGGUAAUUGGUAUGGUAUUCUUGGUGUGUCUUCGCCAUCUUCUUGUAUCGUUGACUUAAAUUUAUUAAAGUGUUAUUUUUUCUCGUCAAAUUCUUGUAUCCUUUUUCCAGUUUCUUCUUUGUUUUGUCUGCUUGUUGUUUUCGCCAUCUCUAUCUGUUCUCCUUGCUUUUGGUUGGUGCAGUUUGUACGAGUGUGAGUGCGGAUCAGUAACUAUUGCUGUUGUUGGGUGUUCUACGUCUUCUGCUUUGUGCGAGUUGUGUGUGCAGAUUUCUUGUCUGCUUUGUGUUGCGUGUGCAGCCUCGUCGAUUUUUUCCCUCUUUCUUGAGUAUGCUUUGUCGUGUUUUUGGCUUCUUUGGUUGGUUUGCUUUGUGUGAGUGUGAGUUGUCUUCGCUGGGUUGUUCCUGCACUUUGGCGGUUUGAUGAUUCAUCUUGAGACACUUUCUCCAAUAUUCAGCAACAAUAUUCAGCCACGUUUUCAGUAGCUUCUUCCUUUGUGCGGGUUUAACAUGGUAAAUGAUGCGGUAAGUGAUGGUGAUUGGGCUAGUCUCCCGACGCUGACUGAUGAUCAGUGGAACCAAUUGAUUGCUGCUUUGAAGUCUUCAAAGGUGUCUGCGACUUCAAAAUGUUAUUCAGGUGUGCUCUGUUCUAGUGAUUGGAUCAAUGAUGGUGGUGCAUCAAAUUAUAUGUCUGGUCAUUUGGAGUUGCUCUCUGAUUUGUGUCUAUCUCAUCUCUUAUUGGUUUGCCUAAUGGUAAACAAGCUACUACAACUAUGGAACGGAAAGUUGUGUUGUCGGAUGGUUUUGUGUUGGAUCAUGUUCUCUAUGUUCCUACUCUUACUUGUAGUUUAUUGUCUGUUUCUCAGCUUUUAGAGCAUCGUAAAUAUUUAUUAUUUUCACCGACAAGUUUUGUGUCACACAGGGUCGCACUUUGAGGAACCUGAUUGGAGCGGGGACGCGGUUUAAUGGAGUCUAUAUUUUCACACAUGUCCGUGCUCAUGGUUUGCAAGCAAAUAUUGUUCAGGCUCCGGAUUUGGGUAUGCUAUGGCAUCGUCAUUUAGGUUACUCCUCUAUAUGCAAGUUAUUUCCAUUUUUCCAGGUGUAGCUAGUACUAAAAAUUUUAAUAAGGGUUGUUCUCUUGAUUGCCACAUUUGUUUUAAGGGUAAAUUACCUAGAAACAGUUUUCCGUUCAUUAAUCAUAAAGCUACAGAGAUUUUUGAUUUAAUUCAUUGUGAUAUCUGGGGCCAUAAUCAUAUUGUGUCUACUAGCAACGCAUGUUAUUUUCUUACUAUUGUUGAUAAUUAUUGACGUGCUACCUGGGUUUAUUUCAUGAUUGGCAAAUAUGAGGCAAAACAAUUGUUGCAAGAAUUUUAUGCUAUGGUCAAAACCCAGUUUAAUAAGAAGAUUAAGGUGCUUCUGAGUGAUAAUGGACAGGAUGUUUUAUGUCUUGCAUCUUUCUUUCGCCAAAAAGGCAUCAUUUAUCAGACAUCUUGUGUUGAUACUAUCCAACAGAAUGGUAGGGUGGAGCGUAAACAUUGUCGUAUCCUUAAUGUAGCUCGGACUCUUAGGUUUCAGCUAAAUUACCUAAAUCUUAUAAAUAUUACCCCUACUCCUAGUUUGAAAGGUUAAACACCUUAUGAAUGUUUGUUUGGUGUUUCACCUUCUUAUGAUUCAUUCGUGCAUUUGGUUGUCUAUGCUAUGUUGUUAAUCGUUCUCGUAUACAAGAUAAGUUCGAUUCUAGAUCUCAUCGUUUCUUAUUUCUUGGGUAUCUAAUAAGAAGGGUGGCGGCUUUAUGACCUUGAGACGUAUGAUUUUUUGUGAGAAUGGAUGUUAUAUUUUUUGAGGAUCAAUUCCCCUAUCCUACUGUUCUUUCUAAUGUGGCGCAAAAGCAGUGGGAUUUAUAUUUUUCCCGACCAUCCCUUUCGGCGGAUGAUUUGAUUAAUGAUAGUGGUUAUGGCAUUGAUGUUGGUGCGCCUAUUGGUGAUGUUGGUGCGUCUAGUGUUAUUGAUGGUGCUGGCAUGCGUAUGAAUGGUGGGUCACCACGCCUCCACGCUCCAUUCGUAGCAUAGUUAGUGAUGCUUCUGUGACUCAUGUGCGUAUUGGUGAGGUUAUGUGUGACACCUCCAUGCCUCUUUAUUUGAGGGGGAUUUGGUCAUUGUCUGGUGAACUAUUAGGGCAUGGGCAUCGUACUAAAGUUCAAUCUUGCAAGGUUCGUGAUUUUGUGACUCAUACUGUGGUGUGUGAAAAUAUUGACUCCCAACAUUCUACUACGUCUCCUUCUCCGUUCUUCAGGUACGUCCUUUGAUAUUGCUUGUCAUGUUGAUUAUAAUAAUUUUUAGUAAAUCAUAGAGGUUUUCUGGCAGCUAUUACUAAAGCAUAGGAGCCUCAAAGUUUUCAGGAGGUUGCGAAACAUCCUGGUUGGUGCAAGGCUAUGGAGGAGGAGCUUACGGCUCUUGAGUGCAAUGGUACUUGGAGUUUGGAGGAUCUACCUUCAGGUAAGAAAGCUAUUAGUAGUGGUUGGGUGUAUCGUAUUAAAUACACUUCAACUGGUGAGGUUGAACGCUUGAAAGGUAGACUAGUUUUUCAUGGUAAUCGUCAGAUUGAAGGUGUUGAUUAUAAUGAAACGUUUGCUCAUGUUGCGAAACUGGGCAUUGUACUUUUAUUUUUAGUUGUUGAUGUAUCUCUUAAUUGGGAAUUGUGUCUGAUGGAUGUUCAUAAUGCUUUAUUACAUGGUGGUUUGCAUGAAGAAGUUUAUAUGAAACUUCCUCUUGGGUAUCGUGGUGCUCCUCCAAGGAAGGUUUGCCGUUUGAGAAAGUCAUUGUAUGGAUUGAAAUAGGCACCUCGAUAGUGGUUUGCAAAGUUGUGUCAAGCAUUGAAGUCCUAUGCUUUUAACCAGUCUAAUGCAGAUUGUUCUUUGUUCAGUUACAUUUAGGGACAUGUUGCUUUUCAUGUUCUUGUUUAUGUUGAUGAUUUGAUUAUUGCAGGCUCAUCUCAUGAUGUCAUUGUUCACUUUACAAACCAUUUGAGUUCAUGUUUUCAUAUGAAGGAUUUGGGUGUAUUGAAAUAUUUCUUAGGCAUUGAGGUUGCUAGGAGCAAGGAUGCUAUUUUUUUGUCACGACGCAAAUAUGCGUUCGAUGUAUUAAACAGAAGCUGCCAUGUUAGGUUGUAAACCCAUUGGCACACCUAUGGAGCAGAAUGGUCGUCUCACUUCUGUCGAAGGGAAGCCAUAUGCGCAACCUAACAGAUAUAGGCACCUAGUUGGUCGUUUGGUCUAUCUGUCUGUUACUCGUCCUGAGUUAAGUUAUGUUAUGCAUACUCUAUCUCAUUUUUUUAUUGCACCACAGGUUUUGUAACAGCCCGUAUUUUUGAGCUUGUUUUAAAUUAAGUAAUUGUGUUUAUUAAUUUAACUAAACUUUAUAUCAAACAGAGAUUACUAAGAAUUUUUAUUUGAAAUCCAAUUAUGAUGGUGUGGAUUUUAUCAAAUAUUUUUGUAUUUAGUAAAUGAUUUUAAGUUUUAAAAGAAAAAUAAAAAGAAAACCCAUUUGUUAUUUCGUGGCUUAAUAAGGAGUAGCCACAAAUUAUAUUUGCUGUCAACUUCUCAUACCUUCUUUGACAAAUAAAAACCCUAGCUUCCUUCUUCACUCAAAAACCCCAAAAAAAAACCCCAAUUCUCUCUCUUUCUCUCGCGGGUUCUGCCCGAUACCCCACCGAGGAAUGACUGCCGGACUUAUUGCCGUCUUCGUCACGCUGCUGCUGUUGUUCUAGCGGUGCUGCCGCAGUUGUUGUUGUUGGUUGUUCUUAAUUUCGUUUUCUCUCUCCUCUGUAUUGUGCUGCUACCAUUUUCCGGUCCUCUUCGCCGGCGAGCUGCCACCAUCGCUGUUGUACGUUGUUAUGGUUGUUGAGUUCUUCAAAUUCUUAUCUCUUUAACAAGGUAUAAAUUUUGGGUUAAAUUGUGAAUCUUAUUUCAUAAGUUCAAUCUAAUUUAUAUGUUAAUAAUGGUUCUGAUUUUUAUAAGUAUAGUUGAAUUUGUUAUUGAUUUGAAAAAAAAAAAUCAGAUUAUGAGAUUUUGAAUUGGUAUUAUUUGAGUUGUUGAGAUUAAAGAUUGAAUUUUUUGCUCAAUUAUGAGAUUGAACUUAUAUUUUUUUUCGAAUUAUAUAAUCUGAAUUUUACUUCUUAUUUCAAGUUAAAGCAUGAAAUCAUUUUGAUAAUUUUGUUUCCAGUAGCUAAAUAAGUUCAAAAUUGGUCUUGUUUUGUAAAUCCCUAUGUUAAUCUAGAGUGUGGGAUAGAUAAUUGAGCUUGCAAAUUAUAUCAGCUUGUGAAGAGGAAUGACGUUAAUUAUAGUUAGUAAUUAAGAUUGAUGAUUUGAGUUGGAUGAGAGUAAGAGUUUGUAUAUAAGAAUCAUAGUUUGUUCAUAAAAGAGUUAGAAAUAUAUCAGCAAGUUCAGAUUGUCAAUAUGAGUUGUUCUAAAGAUGGAUGUUAAUUUUCAUUGUUUUUAUGAGGUGAAUGAUUGUGGAGCUCGAGUAUAUAUUGGAUAAUGAGGAUAUUAGACUCUUGAAGAAUAUUUCGGAGUCUAGUGCUAUUUGAAGAUGCAUAGAGAGUUCAUUAUUAGUGAUCUUGCAGGUUCGUAUGUGGAAAGCUCGGAAUGGAGUAAAAGGAAGAAUUUAGGUAUCAAGGUUAUAAUCAGAUGUAAUGGUUCAGAGGUUGUAUUUAGGAUUAUAUAUCCUUAUUUGUGAAUGAAUUAUUAUAUUGCUUUAAGAGUUGAGCAAGGUAUUAUGUAAUAUGUUAUUUGGUUA